GUNUAAGCCUGCAUGUCUAAGUAUAAGCAAUUAUACCGCGAAACUGCGAAUGGCUCAUUAUAUAAGUUAUCGUUUAUUUGAUAGCACAUUUACCUACUUGGAUAACCGUGGUAAUUCUAGAGCUAAUACAUGCUAAAAAUCCCGACUUCGGAAGGGAUGUAUUUAUUAGAUUAAAAGCCAACGCCCUUCGGGGCUUCUUGGUGAUUCAUGAUAACUUGUCGAAUCGCAUGGCCUUGCGCCGGCGAUGGUUCAUUCAAAUUUCUUCCCUAUCAACUUUCGAUGCGAGGGUCUUGUCCUCGCAUGGUUGCAACGGGUAACGGAGGGUUAGGGCUCGACCCCGGAGAAGGAGCCUGAGAAACGGCUACUACAUCCAAGGAAGGCAGCAGGCGCGCAAAUUACCCAAUCCCGACACGGGGAGGUAGUGACAAUAAAUACUGAUACAGGGCUCUUUUGGGUCUUGUAAUCGGAAUGAGUACAAUUUAAAUCCCUUAACGAGGAACAAUUGUUGNCGGGCAAGNCUGGUGCCAGCAGNCGCGGUAAUUCCAGCUCCAAUAGCGUUUUAUUAAAGUUGUUGNGGUU
rnacentral:rRNA from 1 species